rnacentral:rRNA from 1 species
CAGCAGUAGCCGCGGGAAUACAGAGGGUGCGAGCGUUAAUCGGAUUUACUGGGCGUAAAGCGUGCGUAGGCGGCUUCUUAAGUCGGAUGUGAAAUCCCUGAGCUUAACUUAGGAAUUGCAUUCGAUACUGGGAAGCUAGAGUAUGGGAGAGGAUGGUAGAAUUCCAGGUGUAGCGGUGAAAUGCGUAGAGAUCUGGAGGAAUACCGAUGGCGAAGGCAGCCAUCUGGCCUAAUACUGACGCUGAGGUACGAAAGCAUGGGGAGCAAACAGGAUUAGAUACCCCGGUAGUCCCUGUCUCUUAUAC